CAGGUAGGCUCAGAAGCAGCCAUCCUUUAAAGAGUGCGUAACAGCUCACCUGCCGAGCUUGGAAGCCCCGAAAAUGCACGGGGCUCAAGUAGAUUACCGAUACUUUAGAUUACCAGCAAUGCUGGUAUAUGGUAGGUGGGCGUAGUGAUUGGGUCGAAGCUGGGCUGUGAAGUCCAGUGGACUGAUCGUACUAGUGCAGAUCCUGGUGGUAGUAACAGCAUAACCGAGUGAGAAUCUCGGUGACCGCAAGGGCAAGGGUUUCCCGGCAAUGCGUCAUCAGCCGGGAGUUAGCCGGUCCUAAGAACAACCUCAACAGCGUUGUCCGAAAGGGAAACUGGUUAAUAUUCCAGUGCCAUGAAAGAUCGUUUGUACCUUGCUUGUCGCUUCAGGAUAGGGUAAGCAGAACCGUCGUUCUGUCUAAUUAUUCGAAUCAGGGGGAGUACUGUAAUAGUGAGAACCUUGAUGAGAUGAGAAUGGCCUUCCGCAAGGAGGGUUUACUUGAUUCCAGGAGACACUGAAAGCGAGUAAAGGGAGAUUCUUUUAUGUCCGUACCGAGAACCGACACUGGUGCCCUGGAUUAGUAAUCUAAGGUCUGUCGGGUAUACCGUAAGGCGAGGGAACUCGGCAAAAUAGCUCCGUAUCUAUGUAUAAGGAGUGCCUGCAGUUUUUAUGAGGAAUAGGAAUUGCAGGUCGCAGUGACUAGGGGGUCCCGACUGUUUAAUAAAAACACAGUUGGUCGCAAGUCCGAAGGGAUGUGUACGGCCUAUGUAUCCUGGCCAGUGACGGUACCUAAAACCUGGGUUCAACUGGGCUAAGGGCCGUUUAACGCCGGGAGUAACUCUGACUCUCUUAAGGUAGCCAAAUGCCUUGUCGGGUAAGUUCCGACGUGCAUGAAUGGAACAACGAGGGCCCCGCUGUCCCCGCCUACAACCCGGUGAAGCCACAUAACGUGGACGAACAGUCCACAAACCUCUGUCGGGGAGAGAAGACCCUGUGGAGCUUUACUGCAGCCUGUCGUUGCGAUAUGAUGUCCAAUGCAGAGAGUAGUUGGGAGCCUUCGAAGCCAGUUCUCUGGGAUUGGUCGAGGCAAAAGUGUAACACCAGCCAUUGGUUAUCGUAUUGCUAACCCGUUCUCACGGGGACACCGGCAGGUGGGCAGUUUGGCUGGGGCGGCACCCCCUUGAAAAAAUAUCGAGGGGGCCCAAAGAUUGGCUCAGGCGGGACAGAACUCCGCCGGUGAGGGCAAAGCCACAAGCCAGUCUGACUGGAUCCCCAAUGAUACGGGAUUCAGAGGCGAAAGCCGGGCUUAGCGAUCCAUCAUGUCCUCACUAUUGGAGGCUGAUGGUGACAGAAAAGUUACCCUAGGGAUAACAGGCUCGUCGCGGGCGAGAGCUCCUAUCGACCCCGCGGUUUGGUACCUCGAUGUCGGCUCUUCCCAUCCUGGUUCUGCAGCAGGAGCCAAGGGUGGGGCUGCUCGCCCAUUAAAGGGGAACGUGAGCUGGGUUUAGACCGUCGUGAGACAGGUCGGUCUCUGCCUGACAGGGGCGUGGUUGUCUGAGGGGAAGUUGUCCCUAGUACGAGAGGAACAGGGCAACGCAGCCUCUGGUUUAUCAGCUGUCCGACAGGGCACGCUGAGCGGCUAAGCUGUUUUGGAGCUCCUGAAAGCAUCUAAGGAGGAAGCCAUUCUCGAGAAAAGACAGCCAUCCGUAAGGAGAAGGGUAGCUAUAGAAGAUAGCAUUGA
rnacentral:rRNA from 1 species